GCGGAAGUAGUUCAGUGGUAGAACAUCACCUUGCCAAGGUGGGGGUCGCGGGUUCGAGCCCCGUCUUCCGCU
rnacentral:tRNA from 2 species